rnacentral:rRNA from 1 species
GACAGAGGAUGCAAGCGUUAUCCGGAAUGAUUGGGCGUAAAGCGUCUGUAGGUGGCUUUUUAAGUCCGCCGUCAAAUCCCAGGGCUCAACCCUGGACAGGCGGUGGAAACUACCAAGCUGGAGUACGGUAGGGGCAGAGGGAAUUUCCGAGUGGAGCGGUGAAAUGCGCAGAUAUCAGGAGGAACACCAAUGGCGAAGGCAGCUCGCUGGGACGUGACUGACGCUGAGACGCGAAAGCUAGGGGAGCGAAUGGG